UACGUAGGGAGCAAGCGUUGUUCGGAUUUACUGGGCGUAAAGGGCGCGUAGGCGGCAAAUUAAGUCAGCUGUGAAAUCUCCGAGCUUAACUCGGAACGGUCAGCUGAUACUGAUCUGCUAGAGUGCGGAAGGGCAAUCGGAAGUUCUUGGUGUAGCGGUGAAAUGACGUAGAUAUCAGGAGGAACACCUGUGGCGAAAGCGGCUCACUGGACCAUAACUGACGCUGGAUGCACGAAAGCCUAGGGGAGCAAACAGG
rnacentral:rRNA from 1 species